AGCCUUCUGUAUCCGUGCUGAGAUUUCGUCACACAUCAGACCACAAGGGCUGAUGAGACUUCAGUAACAAUAAUCA
rnacentral:pre_miRNA from 1 species